rnacentral:rRNA from 1 species
UACGGAGGAUGCGAGCGUUAUCCGGAUUUAUUGGGUUUAAAGGGUGCGUAGGCGGGACCUUAAGUCAGCGGUCAAAGCCCGGGGCUCAACCCCGGCCCGCCGUUGAAACUGGCAGUCUCGAGUUGGAGAGAAGUAUGCGGAAUGCGCGGUGUAGCGGUGAAAUGCAUAGAUAUCGCGCAGAACUCCGAUUGCGAAGGCAGCAUGCCGGCUCCACACUGACGCUGAGGCUCGAAAGCAUGGGUAGCGAACAGG